AGUGAACGCUGGCGGUAGGCCUAACACAUGCAAGUCGAACGGCAGCACAGUAAGAGCUUGCUCUUACGGGUGGCGAGUGGCGGACGGGUGAGGAAUACAUCGGAAUCUACUUUUUCGUGGGGGAUAACGUAGGGAAACUUACGCCAAUACCGCAUACGACCUACGGGUGAAAGCAUGGGAUCUUCGGACCUCGCGCGAUUGAAUGAGCCGAUGUCGGAUUAGCUAGUUGGCGGGGUAAAGGCCCACCAAGGCGACGAUCCGUAGCUGGUCUGAGAGGAUGAUCAGCCACACUGGAACUGAGACACGGUCCAGACUCCUACGGGAGGCAGCAGUGGGGAAUAUUGGACAAUGGGCGCAAGCCUGAUCCAGCCAUACCGCGUGGGUGAAGAAGGCCUUCGGGUUGUAAAGCCCUUUUGUUGGGAAAGAAAAGCAGCAGGUUAAUACCCCGCUGUUCUGACGGUACCCAAAGAAUAAGCACCGGCUAACUUCGUG
rnacentral:rRNA from 1 species